GAUGAACGCUGGCGGCGUGCCUAAUACAUGCAAGUCGAGCGAACAGACGAGGAGCUUGCUCCUCUGACGUUAGCGGCGGACGGGUGAGUAACACGUGGAUAACCUACCUAUAAGACUGGGAUAACUUCGGGAAACCGGAGCUAAUACCGGAUAAUAUAUUGAACCGCAUGGUUCAAUAGUGAAAGACGGUUUUGCUGUCACUUAUAGAUGGAUCCGCGCCGCAUUAGCUAGUUGGUAAGGUAACGGCUUACCAAGGCGACGAUGCGUAGCCGACCUGAGAGGGUGAUCGGCCACACUGGAACUGAGACACGGUCCAGACUCCUACGGGAGGCAGCAGUAGGGAAUCUUCCGCAAUGGGCGAAAGCCUGACGGAGCAACGCCGCGUGAGUGAUGAAGGUCUUCGGAUCGUAAAACUCUGUUAUUAGGGAAGAACAAAUGUGUAAGUAACUAUGCACGUCUUGACGGUACCUAAUCAGAAAGCCACGGCUAAGUACGUG
rnacentral:rRNA from 1 species